rnacentral:lncRNA from 10 species
CUGCCUCAGAAUCACCAGGAACGUUCGAUAAAAAUGGAGACUUCCGGAACCUGCCCUAACCUACUGAACAGUAUCGUUGCUGGUGGGUGCCCUGCAGUCUGCAUUUGGCAAACUGGCAUAGCGAGUCCCAUGCCGUGUCGAGCCUGAGCCCCACGUUUCAUAAGGGAUUAGGGUCACUGGAGCUCACGAGGCCGCACCUGUUCCUGGCUGGGUGCGCUUGGGCACUUUGCCCGUCUACGCCUGGAACUUCUCUGGUGUAAACUGGAAUAAUAUCUCCUUUACAUGGCACAGAACUAAAGAUUCUUUGAGUUCCAGGUAAUAAAAACCAAGGCCAGACUAAAUCAGACAAAAUGACAUUUAAAACAUAAUAAAGACAGGAUUGCAGCUGACAGUGGAUCUAGAGAUCCACAGUUCACUGGGCCCCCACCCUGCCUGUCGCUCAGAAGUCUCCCCUCUGUGUGGCUUCACUCGCAGGCCGCUCCUCUGCACGGAGCAGCAGGGUGGCCGCCAUCAGCCUGGUCUCAUCUGCCCUCAGGGCUGAUGGUCCUGGACAAACAGCUGUCUCUCUGUUCAUCAAACUUGAGUUCAUAGCCUUCCAGAGGUGGCUGCAAAGCAGGCGGUGUGCUCACCUGGGCCGAUCACACCUCUGAGGGACCGAGCGCUCUGAGGACGGUGCCCCAGGUCACACCCGUGAGGGGCACACAUCCCCUGGGCUUCAGAGCAACGCAGCUGUGUCCUCUCCACAAGGUGCUGAGGCAGUGAUGCUGCCGGGCGGUUCCACGGCCUCUCUCCCCAGGGCUCUGAGUGUCAGAGACACAUGGCUCCAGCUCCACACCCGAGCACCUGCUGUUUACGGUUUGUGCUGACCGGAUGCUGUUUCUCCUUCCAUCUCCACCUGCAAAUGUUCUGCUGACCCUCAGGCCGGUUUGAAGACCAGCACAGCCCAUGUGAGCAGGGCACAGGGCCCCAUCCUGAGUGGCUGGCCUGUCCGGGGGAGGAAGUUCCACCCCACACCCACCCCACCACCACAGGAUGUGCCCAGAAGGCGGAGGGACUGGCCACUGUGGGGGCUCCCAUGUCCAGGCCGGGCCUCCUCAGCAUAAAAUCAGCUGACAGCAGCCUCAACGCGCCACUGCCUGAGAGGACACCGCCUCUCCAAACCUGGGAAGAAGGCAGCCACGCCCUGGGGAGGGAACAGGUGGAGGUGGGUGCCAGGACUAGCCAGGACUUCCUCCCAAAUAUUUAGAAACUUGAUUGCAAUGAAAAGAUAGCAUCACUGAAUUAAAGACGUCAUUUAUUAUGGAGCUGAGAUUUGGUUUGCCCAGCAGCUUAAAACAAUGUCACUCACAGCCUUGUGGCACCUUGGGACGGGCAGGUGCCUACACAAUUAUUUACUUAAGAACAUACCUUCCUUUAAAAUAACCAAUGUUGUACUUAGAUAAAUGUAUUUACAUGGGAGACUUUCUGUCACAGAUUUGAUGUCUCGUGAUCAUUUCUCUUAGUAUACAUUAAAAGUUAAUUAUUGUCAGAAAAAGU